ensembl:lncRNA
GUUUCAUGGACUCACCCUGCAAAUACCACCAUGGCGCCGUGCAAGAGAGAGAUCCAAUGCUGUGUAACAACGACAAUACAGUUAUCAAUUUCAACAGUGUCAAUAUACACCCCAAUACUAGCGUAACAAAGACUAAGUCAGCAUGUAUGGGCCCGGCAGCCACAAGGAGUCGCUAGAGCGCGAUGGGACAUGGACAUCCCAGCCGGCCAAACAGUCCCCUAACCUGGACGAUGCUGGGCCAAUUGUGCGCCGCCUCAUGGGUCUCCCGGUUGCGGCCGGCUGCGACACAGCCUGGGAUCGAACCCGGAUCUGGAGUGACACCUUAGACCGCUGCACCACUUAGGAGGCCUCCCCUGACCAGAGGAAGAAAGCAUGCAGCUGCAACCAGACUCUUUGUUAAAUGUAUUCAUUUGCUCUCAGACUAAUUCUAAUGGAACAGAAACCAUUCAUCUAAUUUUCUCUGGAUAGAGAGGCAUAGAAUUGAACAAACGGAUCAAUUGCUAACAUGUGGAGAAUCAAUGAGUCAGUGCAUGGAUGGCCUUGACUGCUACUGUGCUGUAUGUCUUAAUCCAUUCCACUGUGCAUGAUACGUCACACGUAUGGUUUCAGUCACACGUAUGUACACACACACUCAAGCUCUCUCACAAUAGACUAUUUCCUCUGCUGCUGCACGGCAAGAGGUACUUGUGCAUCAAGUCUGACACCAACAGGCUCUUGAACAGCUUCCAUCCCUAAGCAAUAUGACUGAUAAAUAGCUAACAAAAUAACUACACAGACUAUCUGAGUUAACCUUGUAUCUUUAUUGACCUUUUAUUUCAAUCUUUCCACUGUCUCUAUGCAAACUCUCAGGGCCCUACACACUCGCACACACUGUCACUCCAACACACACACACACACACUGACUUCAUCAUUUGCUUGCUCAGGCAUAAUAUGCACAUCGAUUUAUACUGACUCUACACACCUGCACACCCACUUGCAUACAAGUUGCUGCUACUCUGUUUAUCUUAUAUUCUGUUGCCUAUUCUCCCCUUACCCCUAUACAUAUCUACCUCCAUCGCUGCAGUAUCCUUGCACAUGUAAAUAUGGUAUUGGAACUGACUUUUUAAAUAUUUCCUGUAUAUAGUAUGCUUACUUACUUAGUUACUUUAUUGUGUAUUUCAUAUGUCUUAUUCUUAUUUCUCG